AAACCUGCGAUUGCUAUUAUUUAAAUUGUAUAUGUGGAGUGGUUUGCAUCUGUAAUUUGGCGUGAUGCAUCAUGCCACCAGAGCAGCGUUGUUUGCGCAGGCGCAGAUCGUAGUUAGCGUGACAUCUUUAUUUAAAGGCCGUCGGCAACCCACGUCAUACGCGUAACCCUUGUGCUUUUGUGAAAUUUUCUUUUAUUUUCUUAACAGUGAACUUUGAGGAGCUUACAAUUUCGUAAAUGGGCACAGGACUUCUCAUGAGAAAAAUGGAUUAAAUUGCACAGGUUGUGAGAGACUCCGUUGCCGUCCACCAGAGAUAUACAAAUCAGUGCAAAGGACAAAUUAAGAAUGUCAGUGAACCCGCUUUCUUACCAGGUGAAAGAUAAUCGGCAAGAAAAGAAUUUUGUUGAAGGCAUCAGCAAUGGUCCCUCCUUGAAGCUGCGUCAGCCAUACCACUGAUGAAAAUCUCGUCGAGGCCAGUAAGAAAAAUCUCACCGCUGAUACCAGAAGUCGCACUACUGGAAUGGCCCCCAACCGAUGUCUUGAUUAUUCACGCAGAAAC